AAUUAACACUCAGAACCACUGAGAAUCGCGUCUACAACGAAGAUCCUCAAAUGGGGCACAAAACGAAAUCGAGUAAGAAAUUUGAAAUCUAAAUAAAGAAAGCAAAAUUGGGUCAAAGGGAAACGAAUCAAUAAGCUCUAUAAAGGUAGAAAAUCAAGAGAAUUGAUCCAAAUUGAAAGAAAAUAUUAGAUAUAUACCCGUCAAAUCUGGGUUUUCCAAAAACGUGCUUCAGCUGAG
rnacentral:sRNA from 1 species